AUUGAACGCUGGCGGCAGGCCUAACACAUGCAAGUCGAGCGGAUGAAGGGAGCUUGCUCCUGGAUUCAGCGGCGGACGGGUGAGUAAUGCCUAGGAAUCUGCCUGGUAGUGGGGGAUAACGUCCGGAAACGGGCGCUAAUACCGCAUACGUCCUGAGGGAGAAAGUGGGGGAUCUUCGGACCUCACGCUAUCAGAUGAGCCUAGGUCGGAUUAGCUAGUUGGUGGGGUAAAGGCCUACCAAGGCGACGAUCCGUAACUGGUCUGAGAGGAUGAUCAGGCACACUGGAACUGAGACACGGUCCAGACUCCUACGGGAAGCAGCAGUGGGGAAUAUUGGACAAUGGGCGAAAGCCUGAUCCAGCCAUGCCGCGUGUGUGAAGAAGGUCUUCGGAUUGUAAAACGCUGUAAGUUGGGAGGAAGGGCAGUAAGUUAAUACCUUGCGGUUUUGACGUUACCAACAGAAUAAGCACCGGCUAACUACGUG
rnacentral:rRNA from 1 species